CGCACUAGAAGGCUGGAGAAUCGGUGCAAGAGAACAGCAACUUCAGCAAACAGUGAUCGUACCUCCCAUAGCGUCAAUCGGUUGUCGAUCACGGCAUUAACCAGCAACAAGCAGUCAGAUUCAACCACAAUUGGAUCCUCCAUUCUUCCUUGUUUGAUCAAGUACUGUAGAGUAAGCAAGAAAGCAUAAGUUUCAGCCUGCAGAGGCGAAGAUGCAGCAAAAUCGCGGGACACCGGGAUCGGGAGGUCGCCAGACUUGGGAAGGUAGGGUUGAUGGCAGUCCAGUUGCAGUAGAUCGACGAUGCAAAAUCCGAGCUGUUUGAACCUUUGCGGAUAUGACAUUCAACAGAUGGAGUGGAUCAGGACGAUGGCUAUGGAAAACGAAAGUGUUUCUGGCCUUCCAAAUCUGCCAAAGGAUCUUAGCUAUUGUUUUGAACUCAGGUAAGCUCUGUUUCUGAUUAGCUCUGUCUGCUAGCCAUUGUUCUAUGCGAGGAACAUCAUGAGGAGUUAGAUGAAGACCAAUUGUGGGGUGAGACCAUAUCGUAGUUGUCCACAGGCAACAUAGGAAUAAGUGUUCAAGGGAUUUUGGACAAUUAUUGUUGCAUAUAUUGCAGACCAUAUCUGUGCUGAUGUGACCGCGAACGAGAUUGGUCUUUGUCGCUAAAGCAUUAUGGCAUAGGGACCAAAGAAAGGUCCGGAUUUUUGGUGUUAGCUUUAGUCGCCAAAUACUUUUCCAUAGUUGCACAGGUACUUGAUAAGACGACGAUGGCAUGUCUGUAUGAUUUGAGUUUGCUUUCUUUAUUGCCUGAUAGUUGUUAUGCACUGUGUAUUGGCCAUUGAUAGUGUCUGUCCAGAUUUGCUUGUCCUGUAUAUGAUUGGGUCGAA